CCUUGUGCCAGCCGCCGCGGUAAAACCAGCUCUUCAAGUGGUCGGGAUAAUUAUUGGGCUUAAAGUGUCCGUAGCCGGUUUAGUAAGUUCCUGGUAAAACCGGGCAGCUUAACUGUCCGUAUGCUAGGAAUACUGCUAUGCUAGAGGGCGGGAGAGGUCUGAGGUACUACAGGGGUAGGGGUGAAAUCUUAUAAUCCUUGUAGGACCACCAGUGGCGAAAGCGUCAGACUGGAACGCGCCUGACGGUGAGGGACGAAAGCCAGGGGAGCGAACCGGAUUAGAUACCCGGGUAGUCCUGGCCGUAAACGAUGCAUACUAGGCAAUGGUGCGGCCAUGAGCCGCAUCAGUACCGUAGGGAAACCGUUAAGUGUGCCGCCUGGGAAGUACGGUCGCAAGGCUAAAACUUAAAGGAAUUGGCGGGGGAGCACCACAAGGGGUGAAGCCUGCGGUUCAAUUGGACUCAACGCCGGGAAACUUACCAGGGGAGACAGCAGAAUGACAGUCAGGUUGACGACCUUACUCGACGAGCUGAGGGGAGGUGCAUGGCCGUCGCCAGUUCGUGCUGUGAGGUAUCCUGUUAAGUCAGGCAACGAACGAGAUCCGCGCCUUUAUUUGCCAUCAAGAAGUCACGACUUCGUUGGGAGCACUAAAGGGACCGCCGUCGAUAAGACGGAGGAAGGAGCGGGCAAAGGCAGGUCUGU
rnacentral:rRNA from 1 species